ACUCAAAAUAAUCCACACUUCAAUGCCACCUGGAAAAUCACGUAGAUCAGACAGAAUGAACUUUCUCCUGACUUCAUCUGUCGAAGGUAACAAUCAUUGGACCUUAGAUAGAAAACAAAUUGAAGACCAGUAAUUGUUAUUGUGGGGCCCUAUUUCACUAGGUGCUGUUGUUCGCUGCCAUUUCUGAUUGACUUCUAAUAAAGAAGUCGAAAAUUAACUUAGAAAAACAAGUGGUUUUCGUACAGCAAACCAACCAUAUCGAUUGUUAGUAGAACAAGCCUUGUCUACUUAACUUCUUAAAUCUGCAGAAAUUGAACAAAGAAAUCCAAAAUUACUACCGUUUGAGGCAAAUAGCACACCAUAAAAUGUAUAAAAGCAACACCGAUGAAAUGGCAGUGACGGAG